AUGCCCUCGGGGUUCUGUUUUCAUUCCAGGCUGUGGAUCCGGUCGUGGGAAGCAGAUGCAGCUCUUGAAGGAGUCAAGGAAGAGACCAGCCUGAGGAAUGAGAAUGCAGGCACGUGUGCUGGAGUGGACCUGAGUCUGAACAGCUCUGGCUUUGCUUCAUUUCUCCUUCUUGCCAGUAGAUCAGGAAUUCCUGCUGCUUUCAAGAAAACCAUCAGUAGCAUAUGGUGCUAUUGGAAUCACCGCCCACCAGUGGGCAGAAGAAAGCUGGGGUCACAGGCUAAUUUCCCCAGGCAGGUGGCCUGGGUUGAAUUCCACGCCCGCCACUGUACGCUAAUCUGCCCCACUUUAGGCAUGUUAUUUAACCUCUGUCCUUGGAGUCCUAUGCAGCAAAAUGGGGAUGAGAGUGCCUACCCCAUAAAGGGUUUUCUGAAAAUUAAUUAAUAUUGUAGAAAAAUGCUUAGAACCGUGUCUGAUGUACAUGCUAUAUAUGUUAAAUAUUUAACUGACCGUUAAGGCCAGGCACAUUGGCAAAGUAACCUUAAAUCCAAAAACAGCAGACCAACUGUAAGGAAAGAGCUAACUGGAAAUUUUUGUAAGUCUGUUUGCUGAGGAAGCCUUUUCUAGAUUUUUUUUUUUUUUUUUGAAACAGAGUCUCGCUGUGUCACCCAGGCUGGAGGGCAGUGAUGCGAUCUUGGCUCACUGCACCUCUGCCUCCUGGGUUCAAGCGAUUCUACUGCCUCAACUUCCUGAGUAGCUGGGAUAACAGGCACAUGCCACCACACUGGGCUAAUUUUUGUAUUUUUAGUAGAGACGGGGUUUCACCAUGUUGGUCAACCUGGUCUCGAACUCCUGACCUCAGGUGAUCCACCCACCUCAGCCUCCCAAAGUGCUGCGAUUACAGGCAUAAGCCACCGUGCCUGGUGCCUUUUCCAGAUUUGAAGUUGUAGGGAGAGCUGAGGAUAUUCACAGGGCAAGGGCUUGAGGUAGAGAGAUGAAGACUUGGGUCUGCUAAAGCAAGGUCAUUCCCUGUGGAUUCUAGUUCUUCAGAUGGAUAGAAUGAGGUCAAAAAUAAAGCUCUCACCCAAGUAGGAGGGAAAAAAUGCUCUCAAGGAUUGCCAGACUAAAAGUUUCAGAGUUGAAAAGGGCAUUUCAAGCUAUAAGCAGCCAGCCAAGAGCUAGGCACAGGGUGUCUCAGUUCUUGGCAUUGCUGGGCCAGCAUCUAUACUUAGGGAAAAUCCACAUGGAAGGACCCCUUCUCCUCUCUCCAGGAAAACACUCAGCUCAAUGACAGCUGGGUCCAAAGCAGGGGCCUAGCAAGUACUUGUCUGGGCCUCUGGUGCUGGAGUCAAAGGAGGUCCCGAACCAGCCUUGGGAUUCCAGCAGGGACUUUACCCCAUGUUCAGGAGGGGAAUCUUCAGGUCUCCCUCAAAGACCCUCUGUGGGCAGCUCCUCCACCAUCUCCUUGCUGCUGUUCAAAUUCUCACUUUUUGUGUGUGCCACUUUUAAUUUGUGAAGGCAUUGUCACGUCUGCUAGCUCACCUGAUCCGCGCCCCCAUAUCUUCAGAGGAUACGGAAAAGUGCUAUUAGAACAUCUGACAGUCAAGGAAGCAGAGACUCAAAUGGUUAAUGUCAAGCCCAGGACCACAGAGCUAUUAGCAGAGACUUACGCCUGCGCCUCUGACCCUGGCCUGGGCUCUUCACAUUACACUCUGCCACACUCCCUCUCCUGUGUGAGGGCUCCCCCAGGAAAAGAGGAAAGACAGGAGUUAUUCUAGGCAAAGUAACCUUAAAUCUGAAAGCAGAAGAUGAAUUGUAAGGAAGUGCAGCUCCAGGACGUGUUCCCCUAUCUUCCCAUCAGACCUCAGCCAGCAGCCAUGGACACAGGCCUCUCUUUCCUCCCCACCCUGCUUCCCAUUCUGGGGUAGGUCCCUCCCAGCCCAUUAUGGCUGGGACGUGCAGCAUCUUUUUUCUCUGCUUAUCCAGAACCAGCUGGUUCUGCUCAACUCCCAGAGAUGAUUUUCUAAGAACCCCAACACUUCUAUCUGCCCGGGCUGCCAGAAAGAGAAAGGGCACCCCCAGAGACACUGAAGACUCAGAGACUCCAGAAGCCGCCAGCACUUUCUAUGAUGUGACUGGCUCUGGGUGCUCCUUGUCUUGUGAAAGGGGCUGGCUCAAAUGGCACAGAUAUUGAAGAUCUUCCUGAAGAAGACAGGAAGAGAUGCUCAGGUCGGGGAGGGAAUGAGACCCCCUGAGGAAGGGACUCCUCCCAGCUGAGGAGUUGAUUAGAAGCAGCCUUGGAGUUGGCAGGAGCCUUAGAGACUGCCUGAGCCAGUCCAGGAAGCUGGCUGAGGAGCUUGGGAGCAAGAGACUAAAACCAGCCAAGUUUGGGACAGAAGGGAAGGAAAGGGUUGAGCAGUGAACAGAAAGACAAAGAACAGGCAGUUCCAAAGAGCCAAGAAUGCAAAUCAUUUGCAGACACCGCUAGCAAGAGCCUCCACCAAGGCUGCUGUGGGGGUGCCUGACGCUGUGGGCACAACCACUUCUACACGUCAUGGUGAGCGUGAGCCCGUGUGUGAGCGUCCCCGCUGAGUCAUCCGAUGUGUGUAAUGAUUGUGUCAGUUGUGAGUCACCAACUGUGUGUCAGUCGGGGCGGGGUGUGUGUGUGUGCUCAGUGCACAAGCACGUGAGGGCUGCCUGUGCCCAGAGUGACAGUGGAAUGUGAAUGAGAGCCAGAGAACCCGAGGAGCUCAGAGCACUCCCAGGGGGAAGCUGUGUUUAAAGGGCACCACGCUUCAUUCACACCGUACAUCACACACCACAUUUCUGAACACGUUCCAGAGAAAGCCAUCUGUGCCUGCUUCCUGCUGAAACCCCCUAUGGAGCAGCAGUGCUGAAUUCUUCAGGCUCAUGGGGUUGUUAUCAGAGUCAGAUAUGGCCACAAUCUUAGAAUCCUGCAUUUCAAGCCCUUCAUUUUGCAGAGGGAGGAACUGUGGCAGAGAAAACUGACACAAUGGUCUCAGAGUCACAGAGCUAGCUGGUAGAAAAGCCAGGUGGGGGCCCAGGUGUCUGUCCAGACUUCCCUGCCCAGGACUCGGUAUGUCAGCACAGAGUGGGUCCUUUUUCCUUUUUUCAGCAGGGAUGUGAUGACAUCACUUCUUUUAACUAAAAUGCACCCAGAUCCUUCCAUGAAAUGACACCCUGAUGUCGCGUCCUAAAGGCUGGAUUUGAUGAAUAGCCCAAAAGGCAAAGUUGGGGCAUCUCUAGCCAGACGGUUCUAGACCAAGAGUCAUUUGACCUAUUUUCCCAGAGCCUUGCCCCACCCAGGUCAGGAGGAGUCCACAG
ensembl:lncRNA